rnacentral:rRNA from 1 species
AUGCACGCUGGCGGCGUGCCUAAUACAUGCAAGUCGAACGCUUCACUUCGGUGAAGAGUGGCGAACGGGUGAGUAAUACAUAAGUAACCUGGCAUCUACAGGGGGAUAACUGAUGGAAACGUCAGCUAAGACCGCAUAGGUGUAGAGAUCGCAUGAACUCUAUAUGAAAAGUGCUACGGGACUGGUAGAUGAUGGACUUAUGGCGCAUUAGCUUGUUGGUAGGGUAACGGCCUACCAAGGCGACGAUGCGUAGCCGACCUGAGAGGGUGACCGGCCACACUGGGACUGAGACACGGCCCAGACUCCUACGGGAGGCAGCAGUAGGGAAUUUUCGGCAAUGGGGGAAACCCUGACCGAGCAACGCCGCGUGAAGGAAGAAGUAAUUCGUUAUGUAAACUUCUGUCAUAGAGGAAGAACGGUGGAUAUAGGGAAUGAUAUCCAAGUGACGGUACUCUAUAAGAAAGCCACGGCUAACUACGUG